GCAUUCGAAUGUGAUCUUCUCCACUGUGUCUGGCAACCCAACUCCACCAACUACGCUAUAGCUGUAUCCCAAGUUUGCCUCAUCAACUGAUUCUAUUUUGUGCAACACAAACUUGCUUUCUCCAUCUGUCCAUCCAUCCAAUGAUCAGCCUCAUUAUCAUAAUUUAUUUCAUUAACUAACUUAGUUAUACUAUAUGGUAGAAUAUAAAAUGAACAUAGAUAGAUAGAUAGAUAGAUAGUGAGUGAGUGAGUACCCUCAACGAAAGUGAUCUUCUUGAUGGUUCCAGGGCCACCGUUCCCCUCAAGGUUUUCAACACUCCUGAAGGCUUCGACAGCCUUUGGGAUGACGUUGUCGGCAUCUGUAACUAGAGCUUUGUAAAGGGUAGCAGGAGCCACAGGGGAGGUGGUUUCAUCCUCAAAUGUGAAAAUACCCAUUAUGAAUAAUAAAAUGGAUUCGAAGAAUAAUAUUACUAGUUUGUGAAGAUGUUUG
rnacentral:lncRNA from 1 species